GAGAGAGGAGUACCUCCAGCAGCUGUGUUUUUUGUGUGGCGGCUGGCUUAGGAACGGGAUGGCUGGGAGCAUCCUUUUUAGGUCAGUCCCACUACAUGGGCCUGGGCCCUAAGAGAUAACUUGUAUGGGCUGGGCCAUACCGGUUCAACACUCCCCCUCAAGAUGGGUGGUAGAUAUCUAUCAUUCCCAUCUUGUGACAUGCCAAGUUACAAUCCUUUGUUCCCAGACCCUUUGUCAAACAAUCUGCAAACUGCUGCCCAGAACUGACAUGAGUAAGG
rnacentral:lncRNA from 1 species